ACCUUCUCAGGAUCAUACCUGGAGAGUUUCCAGUACUCUAACAGUCUCAGCUAUGGGAAGGAGAGUCAAGCAGAGGUAUACCCAUUCCAUUCCUAGCUUGGCCAGUGGCUAGUGAGUGGAAGGCAAUCUGCUACAAGU
rnacentral:snoRNA from 1 species